rnacentral:rRNA from 1 species
AUUGAACGCUGGCGGCAGGCCUAACACAUGCAAGUCGAACGAUUGGCGGACGGGUGUGUAAUGUCUGUGACACUGCCCGAUGGAGGGGGUUACCUACUGGAAACGGUAGCUAAUCCCGCCUACCAUCGGCUGUGCCCAGAUGGGAUUAGCUAGUAGGUGGGGUACAGGCUCACCUAGGCGACGAUCCCUAGCUGGUCUGAGAGGAUGACCAGCCACACUGGAACUGAGACACGGUCCAGACUCCUACGGGAGGCAGCAGUGGGGAAUAUUGCACAAUGGGCGCAAGCCUGAUGCAGCCAUGCCGCGUGUAUGAAGAAGGCCUUCGGGUUGUAAAGUACUUUCAGCGAGGAGGCGUUACUCGCAGAAGAAGCACCGGCUAACUCCGUGCCAGCAGCCGCGGUAAUUC